rnacentral:snRNA from 1 species
AACUUUGCACAGUGGCAGUAUCAUAGCCAAGAAGGUUUAUCAGAGGCACAAUUAUUGCUAAUUAAAAACUAUGAGAAAAAUGGAAUGCCC